CGGAGGAAAAGAAACCAACCGGGAUUGCCUUAGUAACGGCGAGUGAAGCGGCAAAAGCUCAAAUUUGAAAUCUGGUACCUUCGGUGCCCGAGUUGUAAUUUGGAGAGGGCAACUUUGGGGCCGUUCCUUGUCUAUGUUCCUUGGAACAGGACGUCAUAGAGGGUGAGAAUCCCGUGUGGCGAGGAGUGCGGUUCUUUGUAAAGUGCCUUCGAAGAGUCGAGUUGUUUGGGAAUGCAGCUCUAAGUGGGUGGUAAAUUCCAUCUAAAGCUAAAUAUUGGCGAGAGACCGAUAGCGAACAAGUACAGUGAUGGAAAGAUGAAAAGAACUUUGAAAAGAGAGUGAAAAAGUACGUGAAAUUGUUGAAAGGGAAGGGCAUUUGAUCAGACAUGGUGUUUUGUGCCCUCUGCUCCUUGUGGGUAGGGGAAUCUCGCAUUUCACUGGGCCAGCAUCAGUUUUGGUGGCAGGAUAAAUCCAUAGGAAUGUAGCUUGCCUCGGUAAGUAUUAUAGCCUGUGGGAAUACUGCCAGCUGGGACUGAGGACUGCGACGUAAGUCAAGGAUG
rnacentral:rRNA from 1 species